CCUACGGGGUGCACCAGUGGGGAAUAUUGGACAAUGGGUGAAAGCCUGAUCCAGCAAUGCCGCGUGUGUGAAGAAGGUCUUCGGAUUGUAAAGCACUUUCGACGGGGACGAUGAUGACGGUACCCGUAGAAGAAGCCCCGGCUAACUUCGUGCCAGCUGCCGCGGUAAUACGAAGGGGGCUAGCGUUGCUCGGAAUGACUGGGCGUAAAGGGCGCGUAGGCGGUUUAUGCAGUCAGAUGUGAAAUCCCCGGGCUUAACCUGGGAAUUGCAUUUGAGACGCAUAGACUAGAGGUCGAGAGAGGGUUGUGGAAUUCCCAGUGUAGAGGUGAAAUUCGUAGAUAUUGGGAAGAACACCGGUGGCGAAGGCGGCAGCCUGGCUCGAUACUGACGCUGAGGCGCGAGAGCGUGGGGAGCAAACAGGAUUAGAUACCCCGGUAGUC
rnacentral:rRNA from 1 species